rnacentral:lncRNA from 1 species
CAACAUAAAAACCACUCUGUAUAUACAGUUAUAUAAAAAUAUGUACAGUAAUUAUUGAAAAACCACUAUAACUUUUGUACAGAUUUUUAUAGUGGUAUAUGUAAAAUAUUGAAAACCACUACAAAAAUCUGUACAUAAUUAUUGAAAACCACUAUAAAAAAUCCAUACUUCUUUCGUCCAUUAGAUAUCCAUACUUCUUUCGUCCACCACCUCCAAAUCUCCUCCGCCACCGCCCGCCGCCACCUCCGGCAAACACACACUAACACACGUUCAAGUAAACACACUCACACACCAACACAUUAAUAAUAUAUAAAAAUUAUUGUAUGGUUAAACAUAAAAUGAAAAAAAACAGGUUCACAUAAAUAUAAAUCAUGAUCGUCGAUCCAAAGAAACGGCACUCAUCCAAUCCGUUAAUCGCCAAAUUCGGCUCCAACCACCAGUUGUUGUCAAAUUUCAAUAACAAGGGUCACUGUAUCAAUUUGAAUAAGAAAAAAAAUUAAUUUAUAAGAAUUAAUAGUCUUUUUCACAAUAUCUUUAUCAAAUAAGAACCUUCCCCACAAACCCUAAAACCAUUGAAAAGAUGAUUGAAAGGAAAAAAAAUUACCUUUUUUCUACAAUCGCAUAAAGAGAGAUGAAAUAAGGGGGGGGGGGGGGGGGGGUGGCUGGGGCGGCAUCAGGUGGGGGGCUGGGCGGCGCCGGUGGGGGACUGGGGCGGCGCCGGUGAGGGGCUGGUGUGUCGCCGAUGGGGGCUGGUGUGUCGUCGGGUGAAGGCUGGGGUUGGGGCUAUUGGGAGAAAAGAAGGGUUGAACG